UACGAAGGGGGCUAGCGUUGCUCGGAAUCACUGGGCGUAAAGCGCACGUAGGCGGCUUUCUAAGUCAGGGGUGAAAUCCUGGAGCUCAACUCCAGAACUGCCUUUGAUACUGGGAAGCUCGAGUCCGGAAGAGGUGAGUGGAACUCCGAGUGUAGAGGUGAAAUUCGCAGAUAUCAGGAGGAACACCAAUGGCGAAGGCAGCACUCUGGGACGUGACUGACGCUGAGACGCGAAAGCGUGGGGAGCAAACAGG
rnacentral:rRNA from 1 species